AUUUGCCGUACGUAAGACACCGACAAGUUGAAAUACCAUACUUAAGGAUUGCAGAGAUCCAAGGGGAUCCUUUUUCGAUUCAUCCGGAUUCCUCGAUACAUUCUAUCAGAGCCGCAAUGGAAGAUUUCGGUUGUUUAGUUGGUGCAUUUGAAUAUGAUGCCACUUUUGACCUUUAUCUUGGUGUGAGUAAAAUAACUUUUCUUAGCUUUUGAAUGCAAUGUUAUUUAAUAUUAUUUUCUAAGUUAAUUUUUUUUUUCUUAGCCACCAAAUGUCUAUUUCAUUGCACCUGCUGAAGGAGGUGUGAAUCGACCUCUCCAUUAUGUUUUGAUAUGUGGUGUGGGUAGUCUGGAUGAUGCGGAUGAUGGGAGACCAUUUCUGCAAAUCCAAAAUUCUUUUGGCACCAAUUGGGGCAAUGGUGGUUAUGGCUACAUAGCCAAGGAUUUGUUCCACCAUAUCCAUGGUCUGAGGGGGGUUACACUUUUCAGAGAGGAAGGGAGUUGUCCUCCACUUUAUCUAGUGCACCCACAAAGUCUCUGCUUCAUAAGGUGCAGAGAGGCUCGUAAGCAUUGCUCCAAAAUCUUCAUCCAACAAGGCUGCUUAGAAGACUUAUGUAAUUGGUUCAUGCUAUGUUGUUUGCCUUUUUUACUUUUGUUGCUUAUAUUUCUAUGAAGCUAUACUAUGAAUAUCAUUUGUGAAACUUAGAAGACGUAAUGUUUUAAUGCUGGUGAAUCGAGUAGACUAUGAACACCUAAAUGUAUAUCCCACAUUAGCGAGACAUAGUUGUGUGUAUGGCUGUAUGCUCAUAUUCUAGACUUUUUUUUAGACUAUAUAUAUAAUAUGUGAUGUUUUUGACGUUGAACA